rnacentral:lncRNA from 1 species
UAAUUUUUAUCGCUAUCAUUAUAAAAAACUAGACUAUGUGAACCGUAUGAGAUCGCACACAAGACAGCUGAUUGGAUAAAUGGGAUGAAUUGUUACGCCUACAUAAAACUGAUAUCCAAUCGAAUGCCAGCAGACACCUGUCAGUAAAAACAAAUUGUAAGCGUGGAUGGUUAGAGAUUUAUUUGUGUAUUCGAUAUUUGAAAAAUAAGUUAGAUAGUCACUAUUCGUUUUCCCUUUUU